UUUUCACUGUGCACAUGGCUGGGAGGCUGGAGUGGAGCGGGAAUCGAGGUGGUAUGCCAGUUCAGUGUAUUUUGUAAAACCACAUGCUGUUCUGCAAGAUUUUGCCCAAUAAGCUCAGCUCUAAGAGAAUAAAAAAAUAAUAGGGCCCCAAGGACACCUUGCAGAAUCAGGACUUUUCUUUUCACAAGUGAAAAAUGUUCACUUUCAUUAUGGAUGGACAGGGUCCACAAAUUCUGGCCUUAUCUUGAUGGGAUCGCUAUAAUGCAUGGAGCUUCCCCAGGAGUGAACUUUCCUACAGAUGAGCUUUGUAAUUCUGCUUUUCAUGGGUUACCCUAAUCCCUGGAGUCCCCUUUGUAUCAACACUGCAAGAGAAGCCCCAUCUCAAUGGUCACAUACAGAGGAGUUUGAUAAAGAGCAGUGAUAGGCUGGAGGAUAACACUAUUAGCAGAUAUUAUCAGCACUGCUGUUCCUACGUGUGACAGAAAAUUGAGCACAGGGUGGGAUCCUCUUUGCUGCUUACAGUUUCCGACAGGUUCUGUGGAGCAUUACCCCUGCUGGGUGGAGGAACUGAAGGCACGAGGCAGAAUUUUGGCUGCAGUGACUCACCAGCUCCCAGAGGCAAUUCUCUGAGUGGUGAGAUGGGGCCAUGCCUGCCAGCACCUCGCAGCAGGACGGCACUGCAUGCUCGGGGACAGGAGGCCCAUUUGUACAGCAGCAUGGAGCCCAGCUAAUGCGUAGUGGGGAUCGUUCAGGUCUGAGAUGAAGUGUCUCCAGGGCUGUGCAGUCCCCCAGGGCCUGGGAGACUUUGCAUCAAGGAGCUUGUCUACCUUGUGUGGGGCUUGAAAGCUCCUGGCUGGCGUGCUGGGGCUGUGUUGAAGUGUCCAAGGUGAUCUGCUCAUGAACCUGGUGCAUGGGACAGGGGCUGCAGGUACUGCCUCCUGGUAGCCAAGAUGAAGCUGCUGUGCCUGAGCGAGAGAAAGUAAAGGAGCUCAGAGGAGCAGUGGGUAAGAAAAGCCUUCUGCUGCCAAGUGGAGGAGUUUUAUUGCACGUCUUAAUGGUAUUUACUGUGUUUUCCUAGAGCCCCAGAGCCAGAUUUCAUGCAGUUCAGCUGUCACUAAAAAGCAAAUGUACAUUUCUAGCCCUCCUGGCCUUGUUGACAUGCUGGAAAAUACGAUUCCUGCAUGUGGAAAAGCCAGCAGGCAAAUACCUGCUCCCUGAAGCAUACUGUCCUCAGAUCCCAUAGCAAAGCCUCGCAGGUUGGGAGGCACGCUGCAAUACGCUUGGGUUCAUCAAUACUGAACAUCUGUCCAAAUUCUCCCUGGCUUGUUCAGGCUGUCUCCAAGACCCACAAGGCCUGGCCUGAAAAUGUAUUAUUCAAUAAAAUUGAUCUGGGUGGU